rnacentral:rRNA from 1 species
CCCUUAGACGUUCUGGGCCACACGCGCGCUACACUGACGAAGGCAACGAGCUUUCCUUUACCGAAAGGUACGGGUAAUCUUUUGAAACUUCGUCGUGCUGGGGAUAGAUCCUUGCAAUUAUUGAUCUUAAACGAGGAAUUCCUAGUAAGCGCAAGUCAUCAACUUGCGUUGAUUACGUCCCUGCCCUUUGUACACACCGCCCGUCGCUACUACCGAUUGAAUGGUUUAGUGAGGCCUUCGGAUCCGCGACUCGUUUUGUGGAGAAGUUGGACAAACUCAGUCAUUUAGAGGAAGUAAAAGUCGUAACA